rnacentral:rRNA from 1 species
AGUGAACGCUGGCGGUAGGCCUAACACAUGCAAGUCGAACGGCAGCACAGUAAGAGCUUGCUCUUACGGGUGGCGAGUGGCGGACGGGUGAGGAAUACAUCGGAAUCUACUUUUUCGUGGGGGAUAACGUAGGGAAACUUACGCUAAUACCGCAUACGACCUACGUGUGAAAGCAGGGGAUCUUCGGACCUUGCGCGAUUGAAUGAGCCGAUGUCGGAUUAGCUAGUUGGCGGGGUAAAGGCCCACCAAGGCGACGAUCCGUAGCUGGUCUGAGAGGAUGAUCAGCCACACUGGAACUGAGACACGGUCCAGACUCCUACGGGAGGCAGCAGUGGGGACUAUUGGACAAUGGGCGCAAGCCUGAUCCAGCCAUACCGCGUGGGUGAAGAAGGCCUUCGGGUUGUAAAGCCCUUUUGUUGGGAAAGAAAAGCAGCAGGUUAAUACCCCGCUGUUCUGACGGUACCCAAAGAAUAAGCACCGGCUAACUUCGUG